rnacentral:lncRNA from 1 species
AAAAUUACAUUAAAAAUUUAAAAAACGAAAAUUAUAAAUCAUUAAAAAGUUAACGGAAUAAAAAGAAAAUGUAAGAUAAAAAAAAUAAAAAUAGAUAGAUAUUGAGGUACAAAGAGAUCUAGUUGAUGGGUCACAUUGUACGACAAGUGGGGACCAAAUGCCUUACACGUAAUCAUAAUCAUUACUCUUUCUCAGACCAACCACCAUACCCAUUUCUUC